GGUUUGGUAUCUGUCAGCAUGAAGCCAUCUUUACAUCUGUCAUUUGUAUGACAUUUUAACAUAUUGAUAUUUAAAAUUUUAUUUCGAAUGAUUAUUUGGCUAUUUGAAUUUUACACUCAUUGCUAUUUUUUAGAUGCACUAAAUUAAAAUUUGGAAUUUUAGCUUAUUUCUGAUACAUGUGACGUAGGUUUAUCCUUGUUUUUGACGACGUAUUCUGUGAUAAUAAAUUGUCAGGCACAAUAUUUUAUCAAGAAUUGGGGUUUAAUUUAAAUUUAAUUUCAUUAUAACAUUUACUUAUUCUUUAUUAUUCUAAUAAUUUAGUAAUCGCUCAUUAACUAAAAUAUCAUAUUGUAACAUUCACUAUCUGUACAGUGUGAAUGUCACUAUUUAUUUUAACUAUAAUGCAACAAUUAAACAGCUUCUUGAGAUCUUCAUACAAAAUUCAACUUUGUUAUCACUAUUAGUUAAUUUUGUUUCCACCUGUAUACUGCUGUAUUGUUGUUACAUCAUGUAAAUCUUUGCCAUGCCCUGCAAUUAGUUACAGAACACCAAUGUAAUAAACUAUGUGCAAUAAAUGUUUACUAUUUACCUGUUAUAAACAUGGAGAAUGAUGUUGUAUGAAUUGUAAUAGUUCUGUAAUUGUAUAAUUUUAACUGUACCGUUUUUUAUUUGUAUUAUUUCUUUUUAGUAUUGUUAUUUGUUAACCGAACUUGGAGCCACAACAAUUAGGUUACUUGGUUGUCAUACAUAGAAGGUUAUUGUACUUAGUUCUAUCACCAUCGACCCAAAGACACACAGAGUGGACUGGAUAGUUUGUGGUUGGACAUAGGCUAUGGUCAGUUGUAGAACCCGUUCAAUGGUGAUUAAAGAGCAGUUGCCCAGUCUGAAAUGUAUUUCGUUCAACCGACCAAUCACAUCGAAUGAGUUUUUUUUUAGAUUUGAAUCAAUAAAACGUUCGCCGGAGCGACUUAAAGCUUCUUUCAUUUUUGCUAAUGGCUCGCGUGUGAUUUAUAAUUAAACCGAUUAGUUUAACUUAGAUUAAUCACCAGUGAACGUCGAAGUACAUCAAAGGUAAUUAAUAAAAUAUUACAUUUCUAGUUUUUUCUAAAAUUCGAUCCAGUAGAUUUUAGCCUAGUUAACCAUUUGGAUUUUGCCCAUGUUUUUGUAUGACCUUCAAUGCUGUGCAACCACGUGCUAAUUGAAUUUUAUUUCUUCCGUUUUCUCUCACCAGAGUUUACCAGAAAAGUUAUAAAAGUUGAAUAGUAAAAAAUUUUAUAUAAAAGUUUUAAGAGAAGUUUUAUAAGUUUCAAAUUAGAAAAGUUGAACGUAGCUUGAAAAGUUUAACGUUGCUUGAAAAGUUUUGGAAGGCCUAAAAGGUUCUUUUUUUUUUUGAGAAAAGUCAGAUUUUUAAGUUCGUUAAAGUUUGACGAAUAUUGAUUAAAAUUUGUUGUAACUAGCCUUCUAGUUAUUGACGUAAAGUGAUAAUUUAGCGAAAACUCAGUAGCUAAGAAAUUACUAUAGUCGCUGCAAUUUUAAGUCACGCAAUUAAACUAACUUUAUGGUAAACCUAGAAGGGAUUAGGUCAACCUUGGGCUCCAUAUUUAAGUCUUCAGUCCAGGACAUCAGGACAUCUGUAGACCCUGUAUUUCGCCGAACAUCCCGUAAAAGCCAGAACCAGAGUUGGCACCCUUUUAACAUCUUUAUUGUCUCCCCAUAACAUUUUCCUCAAGCUGGCAAAUUUAUAUGUUGCAAUCACAAAAAUUAGAACCGACCCACUUCCCUCUGCCGCCGCUAUAAGAGCUGCCGUUCGCACUUUGUAGUUUGAACUCUUUUAAAAUAAACGUAUCAAAGUUAUUGACGCGAGAAUAUUAACAAUUCUCCUCAAUUCUCUUUGACAAUCUAAAGUUAUUUAAUACUUAUACCUACUCAAAUUUAUUUAUACAAUGCACUUUUAACUUUAACACAGUUUUACCUAAUAAUAUUAUUAUUGACUUGUUGCCACAUGGCUGUAGUAGGAUAAAAGAUUUUAUAUUAUCUAGCUUAAAAUUUCAUUGUGAUAAGUAUAUUAUUAAUAAAUAACGUUGCACUAGGCAGAAUGUAUAUGCCACAUAUCUUAUUAACAAUUUACCAUAAAAUGAUAAAUUGUUAACAAGAUAAGUUUGAUGUUUGCAUUUAUUUGUUUAAAUAAACUGGAAAAAAUAUUACUGAA